AGGCUGAAAUUCGCCUUCAUGAAGCUGGAAUUGCUAGUAAUGGCAGGUCAGCAUACUGCCGUGAAUACGUUCCCGGGCCUUGUACACACCGCCCGUCACACCAUGAGAGUUGGGAAUACCCGAAGCCUGUAGUCUAACCGCAAGGAGGACGCAGUCGAAGGUGGGAUUGAUGACUGGGGUGAAGUCGUAACAAGGUACC
rnacentral:rRNA from 1 species